UACAGAGGGGGCAAGCGUUGUUCGGAAUUACUGGGCGUAAAGGGCGCGUGGGCGGCCUGUUAAGUCGAACGUGAAAUCCCCGGGCUCAACCCGGGAACUGCGUCCGAUACUGGCAGGCUUGAAUUCGGGAGAGGGAUGUGGAAUUCCUGGUGUAGCGGUGAAAUGCGCAGAUAUCAGGAGGAACACCGGUGGCGAAGGCGGGUCUCUGGGCCGUAACUGACGCUGAGGAGCGAAAUCAUGGGGAGCGAACAGG
rnacentral:rRNA from 1 species